ACCCUACUAUGAUCAGGUAUCUACCAGUGAAUGUCCCGUCAUAAUUGGUCCAGUCGUUUAAGAAAUUAGCCGGAACAAAAAACAGACAGACAGACAGA